AACGAACGCUGGCGGUAUGCCUAACACAUGCAAGUCGAACGAGAACUUCGGGUCUAGUGGCGCACGGGUGCGUAACGCGAGGGGAGCUGAACUUAGGUUCGGAAUACCUCUCCGAAAGGGGUGAUAAUACCGGAUAGUGGCUUAGGCCCCAAAAUUUAUCGACUUUGGAUGUGCCCGCGUUGGAGUAGCUCGUUGGUAUGGUAAAAGACUACCAAGGCGCCGAUCAAUAACUGGGUGGUGAGGAUGAUCAGCCACACUUGGACUGAGACACGGCCCAGACUCCUACGGGAUGCAGCAGUGGCGAAUAGUGGACCGUGGGCGAAAUCCUGAUCCAGCAAGGCCGCUUGAGUGAUGAAGGCCUUAGGGUUGUAAAGCUCUUUUACCCGUGAUGAUAAUGACAGUACCGGGAGAAUAAGCCCCGGCUAACUCCGUG
rnacentral:rRNA from 1 species